rnacentral:rRNA from 1 species
AGAGUUUGAUCCUGGCUCAGGAUGAACGCUGGCGGCGUGCUUAACACAUGCAAGUCGAACGAAGCACUUUAUUUGAUUUCCUUCGGGACUGAUUAUUUUGUGACUGAGUGGCGGACGGGUGAGUAACGCGUGGGUAACCUGCCUUGUACAGGGGGAUAACAGUUGGAAACGGCUGCUAAUACCGCAUAAGCGCACGGCAUCGCAUGAUGCAGUGUGAAAAACUCCGGUGGUAUAAGAUGGACCCGCGUUGGAUUAGCUAGUUGGUGAGGUAACGGCCCACCAAGGCGACGAUCCAUAGCCGACCUGAGAGGGUGACCGGCCACAUUGGGACUGAGACACGGCCCAAACUCCUACGGGAGGCAGCAGUGGGGAAUAUUGCACAAUGGGCGAAAGCCUGAUGCAGCGACGCCGCGUGAGCGAAGAAGUAUUUCGGUAUGUAAAGCUCUAUCAGCAGGGAAGAUAAUGACGGUACCUGACUAAGAAGCACCGGCUAAAUACGUGCCAGCAGCCGCGGUAAUACGUAUGGUGCAAGCGUUAUCCGGAUUUACUGGGUGUAAAGGGAGCGCAGGCGGUGCGGCAAGUCUGAUGUGAAAGCCCGGGGCUCAACCCCGGUACUGCAUUGGAAACUGUCGUACUAGAGUGUCGGAGGGGUAAGCGGAAUUCCUAGUGUAGCGGUGAAAUGCGUAGAUAUUAGGAGGAACACCAGUGGCGAAGGCGGCUUACUGGACGAUAACUGACGCUGAGGCUCGAAAGCGUGGGGAGCAAACAGGAUUAGAUACCCUGGUAGUCCACGCCGUAAACG